rnacentral:rRNA from 1 species
CUACGGGAGGCAGCAGUGGGGAAUAUUGGACAAUGGGCGAAAGCCUGAUCCAGCCAUGCCGCGUGUGUGAAGAAGGUCUUCGGAUUGUAAAGCACUUUAAGUUGGGAGGAAGGGCAGUAAGUUAAUACCUUGCUGUUUUGACGUUACCAACAGAAUAAGCACCGGCUAACUUCGUGCCAGCAGCCGCGGUAAUACGAAGGGUGCAAGCGUUAAUCGGAAUUACUGGGCGUAAAGCGCGCGUAGGUGGUUUUGUAAGUUGGAGGUGAAAUCCCCGGGCUCAACCUGGGAACUGCCUCCAAAACUGCAUGACUAGAGUACGGUAGAGGGUAGUGGAAUUUCCUGUGUAGCGGUGAAAUGCGUAGAUAUAGGAAGGAACACCAGUGGCGAAGGCGACUACCUGGACUGAUACUGACACUGAGGUGCGAAAGCGUGGGGAGCAAACAGGAUUAGAUACCCCAGUAGUCC